UACGUAGGGGGCAAGCGUUGUCCGGAAUCAUUGGGCGUAAAGCGCGUGUAGGCGGCUCGAUAAGUCUGCUGUGAAAGUCCAGGGCUCAAUCCUGGGAUGCCGGUGGAUACUGUCGAGCUCGAGUCCGGAAGAGGCGAGUGGAAUUCCUGGUGUAGCGGUGAAAUGCGCAGAUAUCAGGAGGAACACCAAUGGCGAAGGCAGCUCGCUGGGACGUGACUGACGCUGAGACGCGAAAGCGUGGGGAGCAAACAGG
rnacentral:rRNA from 1 species